rnacentral:lncRNA from 1 species
ACAUGAUUACCGCCACUUUUCAAUUUAAACUUUUACUUGUUUAUGUGUGUGUGUAGGUCUAUGUGUAGUUUUUUGGAAGUAGUGUUAUGCCUCGUUCGCACCUAUAUACAAAAGGUUUGACUUUUGUAUAAAAGUUUAAUUUUAAAGAUAUAGCACUGAUGUUUUGUAAAACAGGUUUUUCAAACCCUUGUGCUCAAUAGUAAUUG